AACGAACGUUAGCGGCGCGCUUAACACAUGCAAGUCGAGCGAGAAAGGGCUUCGGCCCCAGUACAGCGGCGCACGGGUGAGUAACACGUGGGUAAUCUACCCCUGAGUGGUGGAUAACCCUCCGAAAGGAGGGCUAAUACAGCAUAAGACCACGGCGUCCUCGGAUGUCGCGGCCUAAAGCGGGCCUCUUCAUGAAAGCUCGUGCUCGGGGAUGAGCCCGCGGCCCAUCAGCUUGUUGGCGAGGUAAAAGCUCACCAAGGCAAAGACGGGUAGCUGGUCUGAGAGGAUGAACAGCCACACUGGAACUGAGACACGGUCCAGACUCCUACGGGAGGCAGCAGUGGGGAAUCUUGCGCAAUGGGCGAAAGCCUGACGCAGCGACGCCGCGUGAGCGAUGAAGGCCCUCGGGUCGUAAAGCUCUGUGGGGAGGAAAGAAUAAGGGUAGGUUAAUAUCCUGCCUGAUGACGGUACCUCCUUAGCAAGCACCGGCU
rnacentral:rRNA from 1 species